rnacentral:rRNA from 1 species
UACGUAGGGGCCUAGCGUUGUCCGGAAUUAUUGGGCGUAAAGAGCUCGUAGGCGGUUUGUCGCGUCUGCUGUGAAAACUCAGGGCUUAACCCUGAGCCUGCAGUGGGUACGGGCAGACUAGAGUGUGGUAGGGGAGAUCGGAAUUCCUGGUGUAGCGGUGGAAUGCGCAGAUAUCAGGAGGAACACCGGUGGCGAAGGCGGGUCUCUGGGCCGAUACUGACGCUGAGGAGCGAAAGCAUGGGUAGCGAACAGG